rnacentral:rRNA from 1 species
UACGGAGGAGGCAAGCGUUAUCCGGAAUUAUUGGGCGUAAAGCGUCCGCAGGUGGCACCUCAAGUCUGCUGUCAAAGACCGGGGCUUAACCCCAGAAAGGCAGUGGAAACUGAAGUGCUAGAGUGCAGUAGGGGUAGAGGGAAUUCCCGGUGUAGCGGUGAAAUGCGUAGAGAUCGGGAAGAACAUCGGUGACGAAAGCGCUCUGCUGGACUGCAACUGACACUCAGGGACGAAAGCUAGGGGAGCGAAUGGG